rnacentral:rRNA from 1 species
AUACGUAGGGGGCGAGCGUUGUCCGGAAUGAUUGGGCGUAAAGGGCGCGUAGGCGGCCCGGUAAGUCUGGAGUGAAAGCCCUGCUUUCAAGGUGGGAAUUGCUUUGGAUACUGCCGCACUUGAGUGCAGGAGAGGUUAUCGGAAUUCCCGGUGUAGCGGUGAAAUGCGUAGAGAUCGGGAGGAACGCCAGUGGCGAAGGCGGGUAACUGGACUGCAACUGACGCUGAGGCGCGAAAGUGUGGGGAGCAAACAGGAUUAGAUACCCUGGUAGUCCACACUGUAAACGAUGAAUGCUAGGUGUAAGAGGUAUCGACCCCUUUUGUGCCGGAGUCAACACAAUAAGCAUUCCGCCUGGGGAGUACGGCCGCAAGGUUGAAACUCAAAGGAAUUGACGGGG